rnacentral:rRNA from 2 species
GAGUUUGAUCCUGGCUCAGGACGAACGCUGGCGGCGUGCCUAAUACAUGCAAGUCGAGCGGAUUGAUGGGAGCUUGCUCCCUGAUAUCAGCGGCGGACGGGUGAGUAACACGUGGGUAACCUGCCUGUAAGACUGGGAUAACUCCGGGAAACCGGGGCUAAUACCGGAUAACUCAUUUCCUCGCAUGAGGAAAUGUUGAAAGGUGGCUUCGGCUAUCACUUACAGAUGGACCCGCGGCGCAUUAGCUAGUUGGUGAGGUAACGGCUCACCAAGGCAACGAUGCGUAGCCGACCUGAGAGGGUGAUCGGCCACACUGGGACUGAGACACGGCCCAGACUCCUACGGGAGGCAGCAGUAGGGAAUCUUCCGCAAUGGACGAAAGUCUGACGGAGCAACGCCGCGUGAGUGAUGAAGGUUUUCGGAUCGUAAAGCUCUGUUGUUAGGGAAGAACAAGUGCCGUUCGAAUAGGGCGGCACCUUGACGGUACCUAACCAGAAAGCCACGGCUAACUACGUGCCAGCAGCCGCGGUAAUACG